rnacentral:rRNA from 1 species
AACGAACGCUGGCGGCAUGCCUAACACAUGCAAGUCGAACGAGACCUUCGGGUCUAGUGGCGCACGGGUGCGUAACGCGUGGGAACCUGCCCUUAGGUUCGGAAUAACUCCCCGAAAGGGGUGCUAAUACCGGAUAAUGUCUUCGGACCAAAGAUUUAUCGCCUUUGGAUGGGCCCGCGUUGGAUUCGCUAGUUGGUAGGGUAAAAGCCUACCAAGGCGACGAUCCAUAGCUGGUCUGAGAGGAUGAUCAGCCACACUGGGACUGAGACACGGCCCAGACUCCUACGGGAGGCAGCAGUGGGGAAUAUUGGACAAUGGGCGAAAGCCUGAUCCAGCAAUGCCGCGUGAGUGAUGAAGGCCUUAGGGUUGUAAAGCUCUUUUACCCGGGAUGAUAAUGACAGUACCGGGGGAAUAAGCUCCGGCUAACUCCGUG